rnacentral:rRNA from 1 species
GACGAACGCUGGCGGCGUGCUUAACACAUGCAAGUGGAGCGACGAACCGGGCUUCGGCCCGGGGCCAAGCCGCGAACGGGUGAGUAUCACGUGGGUAACCUGCCCCGAUGACCGGGAUAACUCGAGGAAACUCGGGCUAAUACCGGAUGUGCUCUCCGCACAUCAGUGCAGAGAGCAAAGGAAGCUUCGGACUCCGCAUUGGGAUGGGCCCGCGGCCCAUUAGCUUGUUGGUGUGGGAACGGCUCACCAAGGCUGCGAUGGGUAGCUGGUCUGAGAGGACGAUCAGCCACACUGGGACUGAGACACGGCCCAGACUCCUACGGGAGGCAGCAGUGGGGAAUCUUGCGCAAUGCGCGAAAGCGUGACGCAGCAACGCCGCGUGAGGGAAGAAGGCCUUCGGGUUGUAAACCUCUUUCAGGAGGGACGAAGGUUCAGGCGCGAAUAGCGUCCUGGACUGACGGUACCUCCAGAAGAAGCCCCGGCUAACUACGUGCCAGCAGCAGCCGCAGUAA